rnacentral:rRNA from 1 species
UACGUAGGGUGCGAGCGUUAAUCGGAAUUACUGGGCGUAAAGCGUGCGCAGGCGGUUUUGUAAGACAGGAGUGAAAUCCCCGGGCCUAACCUGGGAACUGCAUUUGUGACUGCAAGGCUAGAGUGUAGCAGAGGGGGGUGGAAUUCCACGUGUAGCAGUGUAAUGCGUAGAGAUGUGGAGGAACACCGAUGGCGAAGGCAGCCCCCUGGGCCAAUACUGACGCUCAUGCACGAAAGCGUGGGGAGCAAACAUG